rnacentral:rRNA from 1 species
GUGGGGAAUCUUGCGCAAUGGGCGAAAGCCUGACGCAGCCAUGCCGCGUGAAUGAUGAAGGUCUUAGGAUUGUAAAAUUCUUUCACCGGGGACGAUAAUGACGGUACCCGGAGAAGAAGCUCCGGCUAACUUCGUGCCAGCAGCCGCGGUAAUACGAAGGGGGCUAGCGUUGCUCGGAAUUACUGGGCGUAAAGGGCGCGUAGGCGGACAGCUUAGUCAGAGGUGAAAGCCCAGGGCUCAACCUUGGAAUUGCCUUUGAUACUGGCUGUCUUGAGUUUGGGAGAGGUGAGUGGAACUCCGAGUGUAGAGGUGAAAUUCGUAGAUAUAGGAAGGAACACCAGUGGCGAAGGCGACCACCUGGACUGAUACUGACACUGAGGUGCGAAAGCGUGGGGAGCAAACAGGAUUAGAUACCCCGGUAGUCC